rnacentral:rRNA from 1 species
GACAGAGGGUGCAAACGUUGUUCGGAAUUACUGGGCGUAAAGCGUGUGUAGGCGGCUUCGUAAGUCGGAUGUGAAAGCCCCCGGGCUCAACCCGGGAAGUGCACUCGAUACUGCGAAGCUUGAGUACUGGAGAGGUUGGUGGAAUUCUCGGUGUAGAGGUGAAAUUCGUAGAUAUCGAGAGGAACACCGGUGGCGAAGGCGGCCAACUGGACAGAUACUGACGCUGAGACACGAAAGCGUGGGGAGCAAACAGG